rnacentral:rRNA from 1 species
UACGUAGGGUGCAAGCGUUGUCCGGAAUUAUUGGGCGUAAAGAGCUCGUAGGCGGUCUGUCGCGUCUGCUGUGAAAACUCGGGGCUUAACCCCGGGCCUGCAGUGGGUACGGGCAGACUAGAGUGCGGUAGGGGAGACUGGAAUUCUCGGUGUAGCGGUGAAAUGCGUAGAUAUCGAGAGGAACACCUGCGGCGAAGGCGGGUUGCUGGGCUGAUACUGACGCUGAGGCGCGAAAGCCAGGGGAGCGAACGGG